GCAAAAUUAGCAUAGGAAGGGUGAUCUUUUCUUCAAAUUAAUUACAUUAUUAUCAGUUAAAUGCAGAUGAUUGAAUGUAGACACUACCAUUUAGCUUUUGCUGUGAACUUUUCCUUGCUCUCCCAAGUACUGAGGGAGUCAAUUUCCACAUUGCAGUUAAACCAAAUCUUGCUAUAAUGAACAUGGCAUCACGUAACAACCUACUGUGGUCGGCUUGCUGUGGUUUCCCAUGUAGACAGUGGGCCAGUUUUGUGAUGAGAAAAUCAGAAUUUGCGUUGCUUUGUUGGAAGAGAUGUGGGUUUUCUUAUCUUCCUCCUGAGUGCACUUUUUUUUUUUUUUUUUUCCAUACUUGAGAUUAGAUUCGUAACAGGUUGUUGGCUGAUUUGAUGGUUACGGUAAUGAAGACAAAUUAUGUGAUCACAAAAGUUUGGGUUAAGUCUACUAGAAACUGGCAAUUGGCAAGUCCCUAAAAAAAUAGUGGAAAAUGCUGAAACCGUGAAUUUAACCUACUUUGGAGGAUGCUGGUGCCCAGACUCGUGUUGGGAGGCUGCAGGAGGAGUGCGGUGAGCGCAGUCCACGGUGCCCAUCACCAGGGAAGUACAGCGGGGCUGGGCACUGUGCCCACAGAGGGUGCACUGCUCCUAUUGCCUUGGCAUAGGAAAAACAGUCCUGCAGCAGAGGGUAGGGAUGCACCUUCUGACAAACCUCCGGUGGUGUCACUUGAUGCGACGUGAAACGCUGAUUUGAGGGACUGUAUGUCUGCAGCACUUCGAAGCGCUGGAAGGCAAAGAUUUCAGAAGCCAUAAGUUAGAUCUCCAAGGUAAGAACAGCCACUUUUGGAUGAGAGAGGAAGGAGUGUCUCCUUCAAUAAUAAAUAUAAAAUCAAAGGCUUUCA
rnacentral:lncRNA from 1 species